UACAGAGGUCCCAAGCGUUGUUCGGAUUCACUGGGCGUAAAGGGUGCGUAGGUGGCUGGGUAAGUUUGAUGUGAAAUCUCCGGGCUUAACCCGGAAAUGGCAUUGAAUACUAUUCGGCUAGAGGUUUGGAGGGGGGACUGGAAUUCUCGGUGUAGCAGUGAAAUGCGUAGAUAUCGAGAGGAACACCAGUGGCGAAGGCGAGUCUCUGGACGACUCCUGACACUGAGGCACGAAAGCCGGGGGAGCAAACAGG
rnacentral:rRNA from 1 species